GCUGGGUGUGGUGGCAUGCAUCUGUAGUCCCAGCUACUCUAGAGGCUGAGGCAGGAGGAUCACUUGAGCCCAGGAGUUUGAGGCUGCAGUGAGCCAUGAAGGUACCACUGCAUUCCAGCCUGGGCAACAGAGUGAGACCCUAUCUCUU
rnacentral:SRP_RNA from 1 species